CUUGACGGAGCCCAGCAGCAGCGGCUCCUCGCGGUCCUGGCCGUAGGUGGCCAGCAGCGCCUGCGCCUC
rnacentral:antisense_RNA from 1 species